rnacentral:lncRNA from 10 species
UCCUAGCUCUGCCUGGCCCAGCUGCCCGUCUGCCCAGAGCUGGAGGUGGGGAUGUGGAGCCUUCUAGUCUUCUCUUCGCCCAUGGAUGGACCCUGCUGGGCCCUGCUGGGGACCCAAGGAUCUUCUUUGCCAGCUGCUUCCUGGUGAAGGAUGCUGCUAACAGCUCGCACCUGCAGCCUCCACCGAGGCUGCCCUGGGAGGCUGGAGCUGCCUUGCCUGAAGGCUUGUGGAUGACAGGACACCCCAGCCCAACCAGGGUGGCCCAGAGCAUUCAGGUAGGGCAGACGCCACAGCAAUGUGGAUGAUCCAGGGUCCCCGCGGGGCAGAUUGAGGCUGCCCUUGACCCUAAGCUGCAUUCUUCAGCUUCCUCUCUUAUUUUCACUGCUUCUCUCCCUCCGUCAAGGGUUUCUCCUGAGACACUGCCUUAUGCGCUUGAACCAGAGCCCUUGUUUCCAGCUCUGCUUCUAGGGAAACCAGUCCCUCACAUGAGGUCACCACGUGAGGUGGUCACUUCCCUCUGGGCUGCCCUGGGAGCUCCCGUCUCAGUGUACACGGCCACCCCUGAGCCUUACUGCUCCUCAGUGCAGGAGCCUCCCCUCCUGCUGUAGCUCCCAGGGCCACCCACGGAAUCCUCCACCCUCCACUCGGAGGCCAUCACUGGACUUGGAGUCAGAAGAGUGGAGUCGGGUCAGACUUCAACUCUGACUUUGAAGGUGGUGAGUGCCUCAAACUCAAACGUUCAUGCAUGGUGAGGAUAAAAAGUAACUGCCCUGGGAGGAUGAAACCAGGGAAGACAGCAAGUAUGGAAAAGUGAGCACCGCAGAUGCCACCAUGCCACCAAGCACGAGUGAUUUCAUCUCUUGGUGGCCUCUCCUCCAAGACCAGCGGGGGUUCCCAUUGCCGAGAUCAGAGCCUCGGGCAAGGGUGAAUGUUGGCUCCACUCACCCCGUGGGUACUCCCACUACUCAGCUUCCUGGCCCUCGAGGAUGCCCAGGCCCAUGGGUGCAGCAUCAGCCAAUGCUGUUUGCAACCAAGAGGUUCCAGUUCCCCCAGCUGCAUUGAGAGGGGAGGAGCAGGUGUGCCCAGGAGAGGAGGACCCUGGUCUCAGGGAAGAGGGAGUGGUACUGGGGUCUCAGGAAGGGCUUGGAGGGACAGGACUGACACUCUGUCCGCAGAGAUGUCAAUGAGCACACAAAGGAGGCGAGAUGAGGGAGCACAGAAGACAACCUCCAAGACGAGAGAUGGGAGCUGAGGAAGCUGUGAACCUGCGAGGCACACAGAGAUGGGGUAGAAGCUGCUCAUGCUCAUAGGAGGAGGGCAGAUAGGAGGGGCCAAGGAGGGGCUCAGUGUCUGCCUCUGAAUCUCAACCCCCCUUUCAAGGAAGGUGGUUAUGCCCACAUCCACUC